rnacentral:rRNA from 1 species
UACGGGGGGGGCGAGCGUUGUUCGGAAUUACUGGGCGUAAAGGGUGCGUAGGCGGUGCUCUAAGUCGGAUGUGAAAACGUCUGGGCUCAACCCAGAGCCUGCAUCCGAAACUGGAGUGCUAGAGUUCUGGAGGGGGUAGCGGAAUUCCUGGUGUAGCGGUGAAAUGCGUAGAUAUCAGGAGGAACACCGGUGGCGAAGGCGGCUACCUGGACAGAAACUGACGCUGAGGCACGAAAGCUAGGGGAGCAAACAGG